rnacentral:rRNA from 1 species
GCAUGCUAGUUGUACGAGUUCAGACUCGUAGCAGAUAGCUCAGUAACACGUGGCCAAACUACCCUAUAGAUCCAGACAACCUCGGGAAACUGAGGCUAAUCCGGAAUAGGGCUCUCAUCCUGGAGUGGAGAGAGCCUGAAACGCUCCGGCGCUAUAGGAUGUGGCUGCGGCCGAUUAGGUAGACGGUGGGGUAACGG